GGGACACGUGGUAUCCUGUCUGAAUAUGGGGGGACCAUCCUCCAAGGCUAAAUACUCCUGACUGACCGAUAGUGAACCAGUACCGUGAGGGAAAGGCGAAAAGAACCCCGGCGAGGGGAGUGAAAAAGAACCUGAAACCGUGUACGUACAAGCAGUGGGAGCCUCUUAAUGGGGUGACUGCGUACCUUUUGUAUAAUGGGUCAGCGACUUAUAUUCUGUAGCAAGGUUAACCGAAUAGGGGAGCCGAAGGGAAACCGAGUCUUAACUGGGCGUUAAGUUGCAGGGUAUAGACCCGAAACCCGGUGAUCUAGCCAUGGGCAGGUUGAAGGUUGGGUAACACUAACUGGAGGACCGAACCGACUAAUGUUGAAAAAUUAGCGGAUGACUUGUGGCUGGGGGUGAAAGGCCAAUCAAACCGGGAGAUAGCUGGUUCUCCCCGAAAGCUAUUUAGGUAGCGCCUCGUGAAUUCAUCUCCGGGGGUAGAGCACUGUUUCGGCAAGGGGGUCAUCCCGACUUACCAACCCGAUGCAAACUGCGAAUACCGGAGAAUGUUAUCACGGGAGACACACGGCGGGUGCUAACGUCCGUCGUGAAGAGGGAAACAACCCAGACCGCCAGCUAAGGUCCCAAAGUCAUGGUUAAGUGGGAAACGAUGUGGGAAGGCCCAGACAGCCAGGAUGUUGGCUUAGAAGCAGCCAUCAUUUAAAGAAAGCGUAAUAGCUCACUGGUCGAGUCGGCCUGCGCGGAAGAUGUAACGGGGCUAAACCAUGCACCGAAGCUGCGGCAGCGACACUGUGUGUUGUUGGGUAGGGGAGCGUUCUGUAAGCCUGCGAAGGUGUGC
rnacentral:rRNA from 1 species